UGAGUGAUAAAACCCAGCUAGCAACUUCAUCCCUGUCAACCUAAAACAAUAGUUCCAGAAGUAGUAGUCUUACAAAGUGAUACAAUUCAAGUGGUUUGUAGUUCAAAUUAUAUCAGCACUGUCAGUGAUACAAUUCAAGUGAUUUGUAGUUCAAAUUAUAUCAGCAUUGUAUUGGCUUCUUGAGAGAUAACAAAAAGAAAGUACAUAUUCAUCUCUGUAUGCCAGCGUCCUUGUUUCUAUUCAUGUUAAUAUUUGUUGUAAAUCACCCUUCAGUUGACCAACACCGCAUUGCUUGACAAGUAACACUCACUGCCAAUUCGUUUCUCAACAAUGGCAGUGAUGAACUUGCUAAUUCCCACCGGCCAUCACAAAGAUUGUAGAAACCUACUGUUCCUCAGUUUCUAAUCCUUCCAAAUGAAAUGGAUUGGAAGGAGAUGUGUAAACAAACAGUUGAAAAAGCAGCCAGCUGAAGUUACUGUAUCAAGGGCCCCAACGAUGUCGAGGCCGGAGAUGGCGAAGUAGGCAAGAGUAAUGCGAAAAAUUAAAUUAUAGAAGACGAACCACGCAAAAUCGCCAUGAGGGGACGAGGAUUCCAAACCUCUAAACCUUAUUCGUUUCCUCAGAAAGAAAAUAGACGACGGCGGAAGGAUUCAAAACAGAUUCAGAGUUUGCGUCCUCAAUCGUCAGGAAGUCGUGACGUAUCGGCGGUCACUACUCUUCACAGCCAGCGGCGACGAGUCUCCGUUUCCAG
rnacentral:lncRNA from 1 species